rnacentral:rRNA from 1 species
AGCGAACGUUAGCGGCGCGCCUAACACAUGCAAGUCGCACGAGAAAGGGCUUCGGCCCCGGUAAAGUGGCGCACGGGUGAGUAACACGUGGGCAACCUGCCCAACCCUGGGGGAUAACCUGCCGAAAGGCGGGCUAAUACCGCGUACGAGGGCUCGACUUCGGUCGGGUUCUGAAAGCAGGCCUCUGUAUACAAGCUUGUGGGGUUGGAUGGGCCCGCGCUCCAUCAGCUAGUUGGUGAGGUAACGGCUCACCAAGGCUACGACGGAUAGCUGGUCUGAGAGGAUGAUCAGCCACACUGGAACUGAGACACGGUCCAGACUCCUACGGGAGGGAGCAGUGGGGAAUCUUGCGCAAUGGACGAAAGUCUGACGCAGCGACGCCGCGUGGGUGACGAAGGCCUUCGGGUUGUAAAGCCCUGUGGGGUGAGACGAACAGCUGGGGUUCGAAUAGGGCCUUGGUCUGACGGUAUCACCUUAGCAAGCACCGGCUAACUCUGUGCCAGCCGCCGCGGUAAAAC